UGCACUCCCACACCAACACUAAUGUGCACUAAUGGUCCACGGAGACUCCAGGGCUUGUGUAUCAAACGGCGUGGUCUCAUCUACUGUGGCCUUCUGCUCUGAUCUCAUCUGGCUGACAGACGACACGGGCGACAUUAAAUCCUUGUUAAGUGCUGGACGACGACCAGGGUCAGGGGCUUUCGUACGGCACAUUGGCAGGGUCUUGGCGGUUUGUUUAGAUUGAGAUUCUGUCUCACAAACUGGGACAGUACACAGUUAAUUUCAACCGCAAUGCAGCAGGUUGUCUGUAGACCGAGAGGUCAUAAAUAGGGUGAAGGGCAAAGUCCAUCAGGGAUGGGAGGGGCGAGCAUGAAUACCAGAGAGGAUGUUAGAGCCACGAAGGCCGCUGCACUCCGAAGGCCGUGUGCCCAAUUCGUUCGGCGAUGACAUCGAACCCGCAAGCCUUCACCGUGUCCGUGCCACGGCCAGUGAGGCGGCUUACGAUAAAAUAUUUGGCGGGCUGAACGGUAUAUGCCGCCUGAUGCACGUGGCAAAAGCUCACGCGGCUUAAAUGUCAAUGACUCUCUGAGUGAUCAUGAAUGAAAUAUAAGACAUGCAACUUCGGGGAGGGUUAAUACCGGAGGCUCGGCCCGACUGCCUUACCAUUCACGGGGAUCACGUGAAAUAAAGAUCCAAUCUGUCAUUUAGUUUCUCAUCAAAACAAGUGCACCCUUCCCAUCAGAAGUGCUCAUUCAAAUCCAUACGGCAGUGCUGGCAGGCUUAAAAAAAAAAAAAAAAAAAAAAGGGGGGGAUUGGCCGCAGGCGGAUGGUUAAGAGCUUUAGAACGUGCGCUCAUCAGACACAUGGCCCCGAGACAACAUUUGAAUCAAUCUGACGGAUCGCAUUUGCUUGUCGGACACGUGUUCAGUAGAUACGCUGACGCAAGAUGAGCUCAAACAAGCUAGCGUCCAUCCCUCACGAGGGGGGCUUGCCUCAGCUCAUUUUGGGAGAGAGACAAGCUGGCCAACAGUCGAUCGCCCAUAUCGAAACAUAUAUAUAAAAAAAUGGAAAACCAUUUUAAUUUUUUUGUAAUUUUUCUAAUUUUAUUUAUUUAUAUAUAUAUAUUUUUUACUGUGUCAUGGCCAUCUUUUCUAAUUUAAAAAAACCUACUAACCAACAUUAGAAGUUGUAUACAAUGCUUUGUGCAUAACUGCAAUGCUCUGACUCACCUUUCAUUUUUAGGUCAAGGAUUACGAGUUUGAUAAAAGAAUAACACAAAGAGAUGACAAAAUAAUACCUUUUCUACAGACUGGAAGGAUCUGAAUAAACUCAGUUAAUUAAGAGUAAACAGUGGCUGUAAUGAGAAAAUCCAAAUAUCCCCGAAACCUAGUUAUUACACAAAAAAAAUGCCUAAUAGAUGGCGGUGGCGACGGUCAAAUAAAUAAUUAGCCCUCAACACAGUUGAAUACAACUCAUACGGAGCACACGCACAACACAGCGAGAACGUAACUCCCACGCGGCGGCUCAGUGCCGAGCAGCACCGACAAACAAGGCUGACGAGUGUCUCGCGUCGCUUAACCGGCGUGACUAACUCGACCGUCAUGUAGAAGGUCACAGCAUGAGAAAAGCGGGGAAAAGCUUUUUGUUCUGUAAUAACGGUCAACUGAGCACUAACAACGAAGGAGUUUAAACUAGAUGAGUACCAAAUUAAUGUUCUGUAUAAAUUCUCGGUACGUACCAUCUAAACUUCCCUCAGGCAUGAUUAGGAUGAACUGCUGUUAUUACCUUAGAUGGCCAGAACAGGAACCCUGCAUGAGCAGCACGCAUGAAUCCUGAAACAGUGGAGAAAAAAAAAAUGUUUGAAAUAAAACACUUGUAUUUAUGACUCAAUGGAUUUAAUGGCCAUUUAACUUACCGGUCACAACAUUCGGGACUUCUGCAGAAUCUGAGAUCGUGUUCUCUCAGGAACAACUCCAUCCAUUUUUCAUUUCAAUUAAAAAUGUUUUUUUAAGCUCAAGAUAGUAAUUAUCCUGACAUGUGUUUGCAUGUUAAAAAUCAACAACAACAACAAAAUCUGAGCAGCUGGAUAUUUAAUAGAUCUUGUUUGGUAGUUACUGGUCCACGUGGGAGAUGGUUGUUUGAAAGGCAAAGGUGAUGUGGUCUCGAGCGUGAUCGAGGUAAGGAUCAAAGAAGGUGCGGGCGUCUCCAGAGAAAUGUCUCCACCGCAUCAGCUCGGACAUGCUGAGGUGCUUCUGGGCCGGACCGCAGCGGUCCCGACCCAGCUGGCACGGGCGAUUGUCAGAAAGCUCAUCGUCUUCCUCUUCCAUAUCUGAGUAGGAAGUUCAAAAAAGAUGAGUGGACACAUAAUUAUUUUUUUCCAAACUGAUUCAAAACAGGCCUACUGUUGACUGAGCCGUCCAUUUUGCAGCUGCAGUUCAACAGGUCGUGAGUGAGCGACGGCGUGUCAGUCAGGCUGAAGAGAUCUCGCAGCUCGCUGGCGGAGAAGCUGGCGUGUUCCGAGCCUUUGCCGAGGUCCACCACCGUCCCAGAAAGCCCCUGCUUGGACACUUGCCGCUGGAAAAUGCGCUCCUCAAUAGUUCCUAAGAAGUUCACCGCAAACGAGUGCGGCUUGGAAUGUAAAAUCGAUUUCACGGAUGUUUUUGUUUAUCUCCACGCACGCAAAAUGUACGAUACCUGCUGUGAGUAGACGGUAAGUGUGGACGGUCUUCUUCUGUCCGUCGCGCCACACUCGUGCCAUAGCCUGAGCAAGACAAAGGAGCAAACCUUCCGUUUCAGCAAACAAAUCAUACCACCUUAGACUGUUUUUUAUAGCUUUACCUGAAUAUCAUUAGCCGGGUUCCAAUCGAGGUCAUAGAGUACUAGAUGGGAAGCCCCCACUAGGUUGAGUCCUACGCCGCCAGCUUUGGAGCUGAGUAGAAACAGGAAAGUGGAAGAGUAAGGACUGUUGAAGCCGUCGACCAGCCGCUGCCUUUGGUUGGUGGGCGUUUGUCCGUCGAGCCGACAGAACGUGUAACUCAUGCGCACGCAAAGCUUCUGGAGCAUGUCCAGCGUCCGAGUGUAGUUGGACACGAUCACUACCCUGGAGGAGACAUAGGAGCUGUCAUAAAUGAAAUUUAGCAGACACCGCAACAGAGACGUGACGAUGACAUACCUGUCGGAUGGACUCAACUGUCUGAUGGUACUCAGGAGGUCCAACAAAACCAAAAGUUUCCCAGAGUCAUGAGGGGUCAAGCUAUCUGAAGAGUAGUUUUCUGGGAAUAACACAGGAAGGCCUUCAUAGAGUGAGCUCUCCUCGGAAUCGCACUUCAUUUUGUCCUGAAAGCAAAAGGCCACAAAGUUAAUGACUAAUGAAUGAAAAUAUUCAAUCCCAGCGCAAGUCUCACCAUGACGCCGGCGUGAAGCAGGGCCGGGUGGUUACACAGUUUUUUCAGGGCGGUGAUGCAGGCCAGGUGUGUGUGUGUUUGCACGGAGCCUUGGAGGCAAGCUCGGAAGAUUCUGUGGCAGAGGAGCUGCCUGUAGAUUUCUUGCUGCAACGGGGACGCCCUGCAGAACAAGGUCCAGUCCAGGCGCGGCGGCAGGUAAUCGUUGAUGAUCUCCUGGGUCCUCCUCAGGAUGAACUCGCCGGUGAGUCGGGAGAGCUCAGACGCUCGCUCGACUCCCAAAGAUCUGUCCUCCUAAUUGACAUCUCGGUUUUAUUUCACAUAUUGACUGAAUUUUGUGUCUUUCAAAUGUACAAGAGUCACCUCUGAGCACGAAGGCUGCCUGGAACGUAGGAUGGGCUCUUCAAAUACUUUCCUGUAUGCAGUGCUGGAGCCAAGUAUGCCCGGAUUUACAAAGUCGAUGAUGGCGUAGAACUCCUGCAGGUCAUUCUGCACCGGGGUGCCUUCCAAAAUAUAUUUCAUACAUUCAGUGGCGGUCAAGAAAAGGGAGCAGCUCAAGCCCACCUAUGAUGAGACCGAAUUCCACUUUUUGGACCUGAGAACGAGAAGGUGGAAUUGGGCGGAUGGUCUUUCGGCGGCAAAAGUUGUCGGCGGGAGUUGGGCGAACCUGCUCGAGGCAGCGAAGCAGCAUCUCGUAGCUGAUCACGAGAACAUUGUGCAGGUUUGACAACACAAACCGCUCGAUCCUGUGGUCCUGCAUACGACAAUGAGAAACCACGGUCCAAACAAUUUCACUCAAUCAUCUUCCUCAAUAUUGUUGAUCUCCUCCCUCACUUGAUCCACUGUGAAAACGGUGAUCCUCUCACGGCCCAGCCAUUUGUUGAACUCAGCGGCCCAGUUCUGCACCAGGCUUCCUGGAGUAACCACCAACACGCGCUUGGUGACCGCUUUUCCUCCGUACGGUCCCUGCUUGAGCAAAGUCCAGCAGAGAGCCACACUCUGGAGGGUCUUCCCCAGACCCAUCUCGUCGGCCAGCAUGGCCCCGUAACGCCCAGCGGCUCUGAUGUUACAAACAAACCAAGAUUAUUGAUUUGAAUUUAAACACCAGAACUGGACAUACCUCAUGCCCAUGACGCAUUCGUAGAGAAAAAGCAGGCCGUCUCUCUGAUGGGGGCGGAGGUGCGCAGUCAGGUGUGGGUCAACCACAACAUCAACCACGGGAAGCCCCGAUUUGUUAUUAGACCACUGGUGGUUGGGCGAGGGCCGAGGCAUCACCAGCGCACCUAAGAACGAUACAAUGAAAACUGUGGAAGGAACUUCAUUGAGCAAAGUUAUUCAAGACUGGAUGGAUAGUCAACACACCAGGUGCUAGUGGAUCAUGGCGAGGCUUGCAGAUUUGUUCCUCCUUUGGUUGUGAUUCGAGAUGCUCUGCUCUCCCUGACAGUGUCGGUGGGCGGAAGGGUUUAGAUGCGAGGCGAUGUGAAGGAGCCGGAGCCGUCUUUGGGAGAACGUCUUCUACCUGUGCUUCUUGGAAACAACGUCCCGUGGCAAAGGCUUCUGCGGAUAUGACGCCCAUCACCUCAACUUCCUUGGCGCCGAUCAUCAGGGUCUCUCCUUCUGCGAGAGAGGCCAGCACUGACAUCUUGUAGCCGCUACCCUGUCCAAUGUUCUUGCCCUCCAUAUCUUUCAGAGUGGCUGUGCGACCCCUGGUCACCAGCACGGCAUCCCCCUCCCAGCGCUUGUGUUUCUUUUUGCUGGCCUUACACCACAUCACGCUGAAGUAUCGCGCCGUGUCUUGGUUGCAUUCUGUAUCUGGGACUGGAUUUGACACGGCACAUGCUUGAGGGAGGCCUGUGGAAACAGAUGAAGAGUUUUAUGGAUGCAGAUGCAGGCCCCGCCAGUAGAGCUCCGGGCCCGACUCCAGCCCCGGGUCGGCACGUGUGGAUGGAAGCGGGAGAUCUGGAGGCGGUUUCACAUCAUCGUCCGGAUCCAGACGGACAACCACAUGGGGAACGGUGGGGACGGCUGCUGAGUAGUCCUGAGGGACGGCCAAAGAGGAGCUGCUGCCAGGAGGUUCGAUGGGAGAUGGGUGCUUACUGUAUAAUAAUCUGAGGAUGGACAGCAUCAUAAGGUUGAAUAUAUAAUAAACCGUUUUGAGAUCAAGGUUUGUGGUACAUUUGCAGUUCAAAAAAUGACCAAAGACAAAUUAAGCAGACGUCAACCCACCCCCGUAAAAUCAAAACGUAAUACUAUUUGGGGCUUUGUUUUGCAGUUCAUAAUCAAAAUACAAACAUGUUUUAAAUAGAAAUCUGAACCAAAAAAAAACCCAACUAGUUCUGGACUCAACUGUUCUGUUGCAAAUUAAAAAAAAAAUAUUUUUUUAGGCUACAAUUUAUGCAAACGACUGUAUUUUCCAUGCAGUGUGCACUAUGAUUUUCUUUCAUUCUUCUCUUAAGGCUAAAAAUCCCAAUAAUGUUAAGCAGCUUCUGAUUCAUUGUUUUGCCGAAAGAGUCCAUCUGCUGCUGGUUCUGGUUGAGUCACAGCGUACCUGCGUAAAGACAGGUCCUUUUCGUGGAUGGGCACAUGUUGAAACAGGUGAGGGAUGAUCUCCAGGACUCUCCUGGUUGGCUCAGAGAUGCUCGCUCUGUACUCCAGCUGGGCAUGCCUCCGCUGCAUCACUUCCUGUUUGGCCGACUCCUUCAGCCUCUUGUAAAGGGUUCUAAGGCCCUGCGCUGUGCGGUGGGGUCUGUCUCCCCCCAGGGCAUUGUACUGCUCCGCCACAGUGUCCCAGCAUUUGUUCUUGUCCACGAUGACAGCAUGUUUGUUGUUGUGCUCCUCCAGGAUGAGCACGUGAGGCUGGACAAGCUUCAACAGGUCCAGCUUCUCCGAGAGGGUGAAGUUGGAGGAGCGAGCUUUCCCCACCAUGCUGGAAAGGAACACCGAGCCGGAUGCCAUCUUACAGCGCCAGUUAGGACUUCAGCGGUCACCUGUCUUGUCCUGCUCCACGAUUCUCUUGGUCCACCGAGACAUAAUGUUAAGAGCGAUUUAAUUGCUCUACCUCUCCUUUUCUUCCUCUCCCCAUUCCAAAUAAAACACAGGCUGUGGUCUGACAAAAGCGUGGAGCUCCACCACUCCUUGGUUUUCCCCCUCUGCUU